rfam:Solenopsis invicta Si_gnG.contig13499, whole genome shotgun sequence.
CAAACGGCCCUUUUCAGGGCCCCCUUACUAAAAAAUCUAAUUGGAGU